UGUCUUCGGGGCGGAGUGAAAUUCUCCACCGGCGGUAAAAGUCCGCGAACAGGCGCAAGCCUGCCGAGCCCGUGGAAUUCGGGCACCGACGGUCACAGUCCGGAUGAAAGAAGAU
rnacentral:ncRNA from 1 species